rnacentral:misc_RNA from 1 species
GAUGAAGAACGCAGCGAAAUGCGAUACGUAAUGUGAAUUGCAGAAUUCAGUGAAUCAUCGAAUCUUUGAACGCAUAUUGCGCUCUUUGGUAUUCCGAAGAGCAUGCUUGUUUGAGUAUCAGUAAACACCUCAAAGCUUUUGGAUUUUUUAAUCGAAAAGCUUUGGACUUGAGCAAUCCCAACACCAAUCUUUUUGAGAUCGGUGGCGGGUUGCUUGAAAUGCAGGUGCAGCUGGACAUUCUCCUGAGCUAAAAGCCUAUUCAUUUAGUCCCGUCAAACGGAUUAUUACUUUUGCUGCAGCUAACAUAAAGGGAGUUUGACCGUAUUGGCUGACUGAUGCAGGAUUUCACAAGGGUCGGCAACGAUUCUUGUUAAACUCGAUCUCAAAUCAAGUAAGACUACCCGCUGAACUUAAGCAUAUCAAUAAGCGGAGGA